CCAGAACGACCCUUCCCCUCACCUGACUUCUAACUCUUCCCCCUUGACCUCCUGAAAAAGUCAGCAUCGUUGAACAACUCCGUUCUGCAGGAAAUUCUGAGCAUAAUUCUGUUCUGAACAAACGCAAUGCCCAAGUCAAGUUGUCCACAUAUAAGCCUGGGUAGUUUUGUUAAGCUAGAGUUCCGCGUGGGCCUGAGAGGGAUGAGUUUUACAGACACGAAAAGUUAUAGCAGUAGUUAUGGUAACGCUAACAGUCAGUUGUUGCUGUUGGACAUCACAACAAAUAUCAUGAAGAAUAAAAAGUUAAAUAACUUGUUCCAAUCUUUAUGGGACAAACAGAAAUUGAACGGGGGAAAAUUAAGGAACAAUAAAAGCGUAAGCUUUCCUAGAAUGAUACUUCUGCUGUUAAUAGUUUGGAUGACAGUAGGGUUAUGGACUGCCCCAGAUUGUCCUCUCAGCGGCCAAAAUAUCAUAAUAGAAUGGACUUUUGGAAAUGUUACUGACAAAGAAAGGCAGUAAUGACUUGGUUGUGAAUACCCAGAGCACUAUACAUCCAUGCUGACACAGAAAGGCAGUAAUGACUUGGUUGUGAAAACCCAGAGCACGCUACAUCCAUGCUGACAAAGAAAGGCAGUAAUGACUUGGUUGUGAACACCUCGAGCACGAUACAUCCAUGCUGACAAAGAAAGGCAGUAAUGACUUGGUUGUGAACACCUAGAGCACGAUACAUCCAUGCUGACACAGAAAGGCAGUAAUGACUUGGUUGUGAACACCCAGAGCACGAUACAUCCAUGCUGACAAAGAAAGACGGUAAUGACUUGGUUGUGAACACCCAGAGCACGAUACAUCCAUGCUGACACAGAAAGGAAGUAAUGACUUGGUUGUGAACACCCAGAGCACUAUACAUCCAUGCUGACACAGAAAGGAAGUAAUGACUUGGUUGUGAACACCCAGAGUACGCUACAUCCAUGCUGACAAAGAAAGGCAGUAAUGACUUGGUUGUGAAUACCCAGAGCACGAUACAUCCAUGCUGACAUAGAAAGGCAGUAAUGACUUUGUUGAUAACACCCAGAGCACGAUACAUCCAUGCUGACAUAGAAAGGCAGUAAUGACUUUGUUGAUAACACCCAGAGCACGAUACAUCCAUGCUGACAUAGAAAGGCAGUAAUGACUUUGUUGAUAACACCCAGAGCACGAUACAUCCAUGCUGACAUAGAAAGGCAGUAAUGACUUUGUUGAUAACACCCAGAGCACGAUACAUCCAUGCUGACAUAAAAAGGCAGUAAUGACUUGGUUGUAAACACCCAGAGCACGAUACAUCCAUGCUGACAUAGAAAAGCAGUAAUGACUUGGUUGUGAACACCCAGAGCACAAUACAUCCAUGCUGACAUAGAAAAGCAGUAAUGACUUGGUUGUGAACACCCAGAGCACAAUACAUCCAUUGGGUGUGCAUCAGACGCGAAUUCUGCCUAUUAUUGUAAACAAGUUGUUAAAAGUGAACAUGUCUGGUUUUGUUAUGAGCACUUCCCACUCAGAGCCCAAAGGUCCUCUCAUUGAAUCGAUGCAAAAGAAGACUUUGAAAAAUGACAGCAGUUGUGUUGUGUGGUCCAGUAAUCCUUUCAACUCUCAACCUGAAGUUUAUCAAAACUCAAACUCAGCCCUUUGCAAUAUUACACUUGCAACACAGUGUACUUUACAAUGAAUGUUUCGCAGUUUAAAACACCAAAAUUUCAAUUUAAAGUUUGUGCACGUAACAUAUUGAUACAUUGCUAUUCUGAGUUCUAAUUGCGAUAUCCUCAAUAUCAAUAAUAUAUGAAAUGUUUGGCAUUCAAAAAAGAGGUGUGUAAAGUAAUUUGUUACAGUGCAUAUUCAUUUGUCACUAAAAAGAUCAGAGUUUAGUUUGCUUGUCAUUUCCUUUUAAGCAAACAUUAUUAGACAACAAAACAAACGUUUUUUAAGUGAAAGUGCAAGACAAUUCCGACCCAGUUUGGGCACAAAUACAACAACUAAUUAAAGAAAUUCAGUUUGUCUUGCGUCAGCCUACAUGUAGGAAGCCUCUUAUAAACAUCUCCCAAGAAGGCUACAUCAACGCUUCCAACAACCGAGCUGGGCAUCGACACAUUGUUCCGAACGAGUCGCUCGAACUGAAACGAUCUGAUUCAACAGAGAGCAGGCGUUGCGUGACUCGUCUGUUAAUGUGACUGACCUCGAUAUGUUGCUUUCCAAAAAUGUGAGCCUUACUACAGAUGAGCUGUCUGCGAUUGACGCAAUUCAACAACAGUUCCGGGUUUGGGAUGGCGAAUUUGCGUCAGGGCUUCAUCUCUGUCGUUGGCCUGGUCGCAGCAGAAGCAGCAACAAGAACAGCAAUAAGUUUAAGAGACGCGAUCUGGGAUAUGGGGCUUCAUGAAUGUGCUUUAAGUGUCAUCCCAUAUUAGCCUGUGCAGAAUGCACAUACAUUGAGUCCUAUAUAAGUGUCAUCUCCGAUUAGCCUGUGCAGACUGCACAUACAUUCAGUCCUAUUAAAGUGUCAUCCCAUAUUAGCCUGUGCAGACUGCACAUACAUUAAGUCCUAUUAAAGUGUCAUCCCAGAUUAGCCUGUGCAGACUGCACAUACAUUAAGCCCUAUUUUCCCAGAAUGAGGCUCAUAUAGUUCACUUAACAUCAGUAUUUUUUCUGCCUGAUUGAGAAAAAGGUCCAAGCAUCAAAUGAGCCGGUUCCUACAGGAUCCCAUGCAGUCAUAGAUCGGUACCCAGCUGAACAACAGGCUGUCUGGUAAGCUGGGCCCGGAUAGGUGCAGCCAGUUUAAAGCUGGGGCUCCAAACUUUCCUGCCAAGUGGGCUGAUUUUACCUCUUCUACAAGGGACAUAUGUCAGUGAUGCGCAAAGAGCUGGUUCUCUGUUCACAGAGAAAAAUCCUAACAACUCCAACUCAGCCACUACAUCCCAAUAGACAACCCGAAUAUCAAGGCGUUAAGUUUGUUCUGGAUGCAGUUACAAUCACAGCUUUCAAGCCAGCAGCUGUCGAUGUAUUGAGAGUCUCACCUCUCCAUGUUAUCUGACCUGCUGCCUGUGAACAUCCUGCACAUAGAACCUAUAUCCCAUUCGAUGUAAUUAAACCGGCCAAUCAAAAAGACAGCCUGAAAUAUUCCUCAUCUUGAAAUAUUGGGAAGGCAAGAAAACGCCUGUCACUGUUAAGAUAAAAAUGAGGGAAUGACAAAGCACAGUAAGACCAGUUAAGUCCUGUGAUAAGCCAAGUCCUGUGGCCAGACAUGUCAUGUGGCCAGCCCAGUCCUGUGAUCAGACAAGUCUUGUGAUCAGACAAGUCAUGUGAUCAGACAAGUCCUGUGAUAAGCCAAGUCCUGUGAUCAGACAAGUCUUGUGAUCAGCCAAGUCCUGUGAUCAGACAAGUCAUGUGAUAAGCCAAGUCCUGAGAUCAGACACGUCUUGUGGCCAGCCCAGUCCUGUGAUCAGACACGUCUUGUGAUCAGCCCACUCCUGUGAUCAGCCCAGUCCUGUGAUCAGACAAGUCCUGUGAUCAGACACGUCUUGUGAUCAGCCAAGUCCUGUGAUCAGCCAAGUCUUAGGAUCAGCUUAGUUCUGUGGCCAGCCAAGUCAUGUGACCAGCCAUGUCCUAUAACCAGCAACUUUGUCUCGUGUGUACAGUCCAAUUGUAUGGGAAGAAAAAUCUUUAUUUCAUAUUGUAUGGUUAUAAUGAUACUGACAGUAUCUUGAUGAUUAAGUAUUUUGUUAUAUAUUGGUAAAUAGACCAAUAUGAUAAGGGGAAACUUAGUAAUAGCAGUAAUGUAAAGUAUUAUUUCAAGAGGAAAAUAAUGCAAGUACUACUAUUUUGUCUGUAUUCAGAAACUGACUAUAUAGCUUUAUCCUGAUUAUCGUUAACUGACAGACAAAAUGAUUGUACAAUUAUUUUUUAAACAUUGAUUUUAAGACUUCACAAAGUUGUUUAAAUAAUGCUGAUACCUUCGACAAUAUUUAAUGUAUUUAUUGUAUAAACAAGACAUGCUUAUUUUAAGUUUUUACCUAUAAAAUAGCAAUAUGUGCUAGGUAAAAUAAUUGAUCAGAACGGUUCAUAAUUGUGAUGCUUCUAUUUUGAUAUGUCUGUCAUUCUGUCUGUGUUCAUUUAUCAUCAGUUUGCUUUUUUGAUGCAGUAUUUUAUCAAGAAUUUCAUGUUGUGAUGUAAUAGUAAAAUAUCAAAUAGUUAUUUCAUUUAUUCAAACUAAAUUAACCUUCGAUUAAUUAUUAAUUUAUUUAUUGACAACAGAUACUUUGUUUAAUAUUAACAAUAGUUAAGCGCGUUAUAAAAAUUGUGUGAAUGUACAUGCAUAUUGCGAUAAUUAAUGCACACAUUAAUGGAAAACCUAUUUAAAGAAAGUGGAAUUUAGAAGUGCAUCUUAAUUGUAAUAGAGUUUGUUUAAUUAUUAAAAAAAGGAUGCUUUCUUUGUUGAAAAGCAAUUCCUCCACAAGUAAGUUUGUUUCAAAGUGAGUAUUUUUAUGAAUAAUGAUCCUAGAUAUGGUUGUAGAUUGUUCUUGUUGUAUCAUAUUCUGACAGGCUCAUCAUUUAUGUUGACAUUUGCAUUCUAGCAUUAAAAGUUCAUUAUGCUUUAAAUAUUUGUAUGUACACAUUUGCGACCAGCUUUUCUAAUGUAAUAAGUGAAUAACGUAACACAGAUUUAUGUGUCACUGUAUAUAAGUAUAUUUUGUCAUUUGUAAAUAGAUCAACUGCAAAGAUAAUGUUUUUGUCUGUACAUUAUUCAUGAAAUGUUGCCAUUUCAAACAGAUACAUUCACUGUUUGAAUUCAUUUGUACAAAAUUGUUUCAUAUUAAACAUCAUUAACAUAUCAGGCAAUAGAACAAAAGAAUUGCUUCGGAUAAUUGUGCAAAUUAACUUGUAUAGUUAAUUCAGACAUGCAGAAUAUCAGAUCAUUAACAUACUUUAAGCAUUAAAAACACCUUGUUUUAUGUCAAGCUUUUCAGUUAUUAUAAUAAGCAACUAUUAUCUGGAAAUUUGGAAAACAGUGAAGAACGAUUCAAGGGACAGCAACUGUGAUAUACUAAAUAAAAGUCGUCUCCCUUGUUAGAGUAUAAUUGUACCUCUCAACGUAACAAGAACAUUGAAUCUUUUUUUUAAUUAUUCCACACUAUAAACUUUAUAUUAUAUUCAUUCAAUAAUCAUUAAAGAAAUAUGGUUUGCAUAAUUAUUUAUUUCUAUGCGUUAUACCAAAUUCACCAGUAUGGCAUCAAUUUAAGUUCAUCAUAUUUUAAUUGCCAAAAUUGGCCAUACAGUGCUUAAAGUUUGGUAUUCUGAAUAUUAUAAGUGCAUGUUCUUAUACAAAAUCACAUUGUAUAUUUUAACACUGAAGCAAUAUGUGUUAAUAUAUUAAUUUUUAUUUAUUGACUUGUUGCUUGUCAAGGUGUCUAAUUUUGAACUAUAGCUGUUAAUUGAUUGUGACUAUUUUCCAGUUUUGAAUGGUUGCUUUUAGGUUCUUGUUUACAAGUUUUGUAAAAGCUGUUUUCAUGUUGACCUCUCCAUAUUAAAUGUCGUUGACGCGCAUUCACUGCGGCCAGGUUCCGUAAAACUCCCAACAAAUCUAUGAUUGGAUUCCAUACACACAUGGUUGUUUAUACUCAGCUUGCUUUGCAUUAAACAUGUCUGCUUUGUUGUUGAACAAUUAUACACAGCUUUUUAUUGGACAUAAUUGUGUAAUAUUUCAAAUUUUUGCUUUCGAUUUUUUAUUUCCAACAAAAAUAUAUUUUGUUUAUUUGUAUGUAUACUUAGCUAUAAUAAAAUUGUUUCUAUAAUAUAUAAACAACCUAUUUAUAAGCAAUAAACUAUAUUGGUAAAAGUAGAUUUAAGGUUCAAAAUCAUGUCUUAAUUUGUUCGAUUAUCCCAAAUUAAAAUUUUGCAAAAGAUAAACUUGU